rnacentral:rRNA from 1 species
UAAGGAAUAUUGGUCAAUGGACGCAAGUCUGAACCAGCCAUGCCGCGUGAAGGAAGACGGCCCUACGGGUUGUAAACUUCUUUUGUACAGGAAAAAACCACCGGUCGUGAAUCGGUGCUGAUGGUACUGUAAGAAUAAGCAUCGGCUAACUCCGUGCCAGCAGCCGCGGUAAUACGGAGGAUGCAAGCGUUAUACGGAUUCAUUGGGUUUAAAGGGUGCGCAGGCGGAAUGAUAAGUAAGUGGUGAAAUCUCUCGGCUCAACUGAGAAACUGCCAUUGAUACUGUCGUUCUUGAGUACACUUGGAGUGGGCGGAAUGUGUCAUGUAGCGGUGAAAUGCUUAGAUAUGACACAGAACACCGAUCGCGAAGGCAGCUCACUAAGUUGUAACUGACGCUCAGGCACGAAAGCGUGGGGAUCAAACA